rnacentral:misc_RNA from 1 species
GAAAUGCGAUAAGUAAUGUGAAUUGCAGAAUUCCGUGAAUCAUCGAAUCUUUGAACGCACAUUGCGCCCUCUGGUAUUCCGGGGGGCAUGCCUGUCCGAGCGUCAUUGCGAACCCCUCAAGCACGGCUUGUGUGAUGGGCCCUCCCGCGUCUUGGUCGUCAAGACGGGCCCGAAAUGCAGUGGCGGCUUCGCGGUUAUCCGAUCAGCCAGAGCGUAUGGGGACUCUCUCUCUGUCACACGCCCGCGGCGCGGACCGACGCCUGUCGACCAUUAUUCAUCUUGUCUCGGUUGACCUCGGAUCAGGUAGGGAUACCCGCUGAACUUAAGC